rnacentral:rRNA from 1 species
GAUGAACGCUAGCUACAGGCUUAACACAUGCAAGUCGAGGGGAAACGAUAGAGAAAGCUUGCUUUUUCUAGGCGUCGACCGGCGCACGGGUGAGUAACGCGUAUCCAACCUGCCCAUCACUUGGGGAUAACCUUGCGAAAGUAAGACUAAUACCCAAUGACGUCUCUAGAAGACAUCUGAAAGAGAUUAAAGAUUUAUCGGUGAUGGAUGGGGAUGCGUCUGAUUAGCUUGUUGGCGGGGUAACGGCCCACCAAGGCGACGAUCAGUAGGGGUUCUGAGAGGAAGGUCCCCCACAUUGGAACUGAGACACGGUCCAAACUCCUACGGGAGGCAGCAGUGAGGAAUAUUGGUCAAUGGACGAGAGUCUGAACCAGCCAAGUAGCGUGCAGGAUGACGGCCCUAUGGGUUGUAAACUGCUUUUAUAAGGGAUAAAGUGAGUCUCGUGAGACUUUUUGCAUGUACCUUAUGAAUAAGGACCGGCUAAUUCCGUGCCAGCAGCCG